rnacentral:rRNA from 1 species
UUUACAACGGAGAGUUUGAUCCUGGCUCAGGAUGAACGCUAGCGGCAGGCUUAAUACAUGCAAGUUGAACGAGAUUUACUUUUGUAGCAAUACUUAGGUAAUGAAAGUGGCGCACGGGUGCGUAACACGUAUGCAACCUACCCUUAACAGGGGAAUAACAGAGAGAAAUUUCUGCUAAUACCCCAUUGUAUUUUUAAUUGGCAUCAAUUUUAAAUUAAAGCUCCGGCGGUUAAGGAUGGGCAUGCGUCCCAUUAGCUAGUUGGUAGGGUAACGGCUUACCAAGGCAACGAUGGGUAGGGGUUCUGAGAGGAAGGUCCCCCACACUGGUACUGAGACACGGACCAGACUCCUACGGGAGGCAGCAGUAAGGAAUAUUGGUCAAUGGGCGCAAGCCUGAACCAGCCAUGCCGCGU